UUAAGUUCAGCGGGUAUCCCUACCUGAUCCGAGGUCAACCAUAAAAGUAGAUUUAACAAAAAAUCCGGUCAAGACCGAGCCCGGAGGACCAUCGUGGAUGCGUGCUGAAAUGAAGCUCGCUGCAUCCAGGGUCCAGCCGACUCUGCCAUUAUCUUUCGGACCCACCGACGGUUAAAGAUCGGUGCGAGGUCCAACAAACA
rnacentral:misc_RNA from 1 species